CCAAUAGCGUAUAUUAAAGUUGUUGUGGUUAAAAAGCUCGUAGUUGAACCUUGGGCCUGGCUGGCCGGUCCGCCUCACCGCGUGUACUGGUCCGGCCGGGCCUUUCCCUCUGUGGAACCCCAUGCCCUUCACUGGGUGUGGCGGGGAAACAGGACUUUUACUUUGAAAAAAUUAGAGUGCUCCAGGCAGGCCUAUGCUCGAAUACAUUAGCAUGGAAUAAUAAAAUAGGACGUGCGGUUCUAUUUUGUUGGUUUCUAGGACCGCCGUAAUGAUUAAUAGGGACAGUCGGGGGCAUCAGUAUUCAAUUGUCAGAGGUGAAAUUCUUGGAUUUAUUGAAGACUAACUACUGCGAAAGCAUUUGCCAAGGAUGUUUUCAUUAAUCAGGAACGAAAGUUAGGGGAUCGAAGACGAUCAGAUACCGCCGUAGUCUUAACCAUAAACUAUGCCGACUAGGGAUCGGACGAUGUUAUUUUUUGACUCGUUCGGCACCUUACG
rnacentral:rRNA from 1 species